rnacentral:pre_miRNA from 14 species
CCGUGGACAGACAGACAGACAGUGCAGUCACCCAUAAAGUAGAAAGCACUACUAACAGCACUGGAGGGUGUAGUGUUUCCUACUUUAUGGAUGAGUGUACUGUGGGCUUCGGAGAUCACGCCA